rnacentral:lncRNA from 1 species
AUGAAGCUGUGGGAUGCAUGGAGGGUGGUCCCACAGCCCCACAGCCCUGGGGCAGUGGGGCUCAGCCUCCCCUGUCCCCACAGGAGGCUGCUGCCAUCAUCGCCCAGCGGCCUGACAACCCCCGGGAGUUCUUCAAGCAGCAGGAGCGGGUGGCAUCGGGCAGCAGUGAUGCUGUGUCACCAGGCAGCCACAGGACAGGUGAGGGGCUCUGGGGGGCUGUGGGUGCAGGGGUGGGCACCAGGACACCAGGGCACAGGUGAGUGCACUGCCACAGCUCAAAGGAUUGCAGUGGGAUAUGGAAAGACCAGGGAUGCAAUGUGGGGAGGGGAUGUACCCUCUGCCAUCACUGGCACCGUGGUUCUGGGUGCCAAGGGUAUGAGGAUGGCAGGAGACAUCCUGCUCUGCUGUGCCACCAUCACUGCCACCAUCACCGCUACUGCCACUGCACCUCACGUGGCCCCUGCAGCUGGGGCAGCUUGUCAGGGGCUGGAUGUCAGGUUUGUCUUCAGCAAAACAGGGCUCACCCUGCUCCCUGCUGGGUGUUGUCCACUCACCUGUCACAGCACUGUGCUCACUGCCAAGCUGGAAACGUGGUUGGUGCGUAUGGGUGGGCAACUGGAGGUCUGGGGAUGGCUUGGGAAUACAUCCCAUGGUGACAGCCAAAAGGGGCAGGAGAGAGUGAGGCACAUGUGGGGAACUCAGCGUGCUGGCUGCUGGCAAGGAGAGCCCCAUAGAGCAGCUGGGCUGCCCCACAGUGUGGGAUCCAGUGCUGGGAUCCAGUGCUCCUUUUGUGAAUCCAGGGAAGGACUGUGUGUCCUGGGGGUGCCUCCAGCCAUGGGGCCAUGCUGUGCUGGGGGGCUGUGCCGUGAGCUGUGCUGGGAGGGAGCCUGUGCCGUGUGUUCUUGUGUGCCGUGCCAUGGGUUGUGCCAUGGGCUGUGCCGUGGGGAUGUGCUGUGGGUUGUGCCAUGGUGCUGUGCCAUGGUGCUGUGCCUCAGGGCAGUGCUGUGGGGCUGUGCCGUGGGGAUGUGCUGUGGGUCGUGCUGUGGUCUGUGUGCUCUGGCCGUGCCGUGGUUGUGCACAGGUUCACGCUGUGGGGCUGUGCUGUGGCUGAGCAGAUAG